ACCCAAACAAAUAUAAGAGGCUAAGAAGCUAACACCAGUACCACAGCUUCUCAGCAUGCCAGUCUGCUAUUUAAGACUGGUGCAAAGUCAAUUUCCUGCAGCAGACAAGAAAGGCCCACACAGGUCUUUGGCAUUUCUGGGCCCCCAGUUUGGAGGCCAGGAGCCCGGGAGUGGAGGAGCUGAGAUUGAGACUGACCUGCUUACUAGGUCUUACCAGGGAGCAUAAGGGCUGCUAUGACUCUAUAAAGGGUCGGUCGUGAG
rnacentral:lncRNA from 1 species